CAAGUGUAUUAAUGGUACAGGUGUUUUGGAACAUUUAUAUGUUACUUUUACCAAACUACCUUCCUUCUUUUAGUGUGUCUUUGCCCCAGAUCUGUCACCUGUUAAAAUGAAGAAAGCUGUACAUAUGGUCUCACGAUCAACGUUCAUCUUCAUAGAAAUGACCACACAAUGUAUUAAAUAGUUUGUGGUCUGAUGUACCAUUUCCUAAUUCACUCUUUGUGAGAGUCUCAUUCUGUAUCUCUUCUGAUGGAGGUUCAGUCUUACAGUGAUGUGUAUUUGUUUAAUAAAAAGACUAUAAAGUGAAUAAUGUAUUCCACAUUCUUAAUUUUGUAAUUAUGAUCUAGUGUUUUUCAAGUGUAUUAAUGGUACAGGUGUUUUUGGCACAUUUAUGUGUUACUUUUACAAAACUACCUUCCUUCAUUUUAGUCUUUGCCCCAGAUCUGUCAUCUGUUAAAGUGAAUAUAGCUGUACAUGUGGUCUCACGAUCUGUGUUCACCUUCAUAACUGACUUUUCAAUGCAUUAAUAGUUUGUGGUCUGAUGUUCCACUUCCUUAUUCACCCAUUAUUAGAGUCUCAUUCUGUAUCUUCUCUCACACUCGCUGUUAUGGAGCUGUUCAUCUUCAUAGUUUUUCAGCUCCUGAUGGAGGUUCAGUCUCACCGAUUUCCUAGAGUAAAAGUAUCUCCAGAUGUCAUAAGUAAGUCCAGCUCAGUGAAGAUCAGCUGUGAGACAGAACCACGUGUUACAGUGAAUACAUGUUAUUUCUACAUAAACAGAGAGGAGAAGAAAAUGAAAACCAGUCCAUCAUGUGAGCUCGAGCUCACUGGUGCUGAAGUGCUCAGAUGGGCAGCUGUAAAAUCACCUGAAUCACUCACCAUUAUCUGUUACUACACAAUGAAUGAGCGAGGCUCAUCCAUAACAUCAUCUGAUUCUGAUCCUGCCACAGUGACAGUUCUUGGUGAGAUAUUUCACUGCUGGUCUUCUGUAUUAGAAAUGUUUUUCCAGUGUUUUUACUAAUCAUGGAUCAUUUUACGUCAUACAGAUUCACUUGAUAAACUCAUCAUCAGAUAGUAAUGAUGAUGUUACACCUAUAGGGCACUUCUGAAUGGAUUGGAUAAUAUUUGUAAAGACCCUUUCAAUAGAUUGUAUAGUAAAUUAAUUAAAUUUAUGCAUUUAGCAGACGCUUUUAUCCAAAGCGACUUAAAGUGCAUUCAGGCUAUCAAUUUUUACCUAUCAUGUGUUCCCGGGGAAUCGAACCCCCAACCUUGCGCUUGUUAACGCAAUGCUCUAUCACUUGAGCUACAGGAGCACUUGUACCUAUAGUACAAAUUAAGAUACUGUCCCAGUGACAAGUUGUUGUACCAGUGAUGCGCGGGUCAAUGUAUAAACAACCCGCACCCGACCGACGUUUUCAACUAACCCGCCCGCAACUCGGACCGCAAAAAAAGAAAAAAGAAAAUAUUGUACCCUACCCGCUUUUUUUAAAAGUAGUAAAUGCUCAUCGUAGUGCAGGGGCGU
ensembl:lncRNA